CGGGCCACGUUCCGUACUUCCACCCCUCCCGGGGGUGGGGCAGAGAGGCGCUUGUUCGGGCGGGGCAGCCGAGAGUUCUCCGAGGCGAGAUGGCGGAGUCGGCAACCCCCGCCGCUGCCGCCGUCCACCAGUGGAGCGAAGCUUCUUCCGCCGCCGAAGCAGUAUCAGAAAACACU